GAAGAGUGCUGGGGGUGCCCCAUAAGGGGCUGAGAUCAUACCCUUUUCACCUGAUCUAGGUAAUGCUAGCGAAGGGAAAACGUGUUUCUGUUUCU
rnacentral:ncRNA from 2 species